GUGGGGAAUAUUGCACAAUGGAGGGAACUCUGAUGCAGCGACGCCGCGUGAGUGAAGAAGGUUUUCGGAUCGUAAAACUCUGUCCUUGGUGAAGAAAAAAAUGACGGUAGCCAAGGAGGAAGCCCCGGCUAACUACGUGCCAGCAGCCGCGGUAAUACGUAGGGGGCGAGCGUUGUCCGGAUUUACUGGGCGUAAAGGGUGAGUAGGCGGUUAUAUAUGUCAGAUGUAAAAGGCGCAGGCUUAACUUGUGUAAGCAUUUGAAACUGUAUAACUUGAGAGCAGGAGAGGUAAGCGGAAUUCCUAGUGUAGCGGUGAAAUGCGUAGAUAUUAGGAGGAACACCAGUGGCGAAGGCGGCUUACUGGACUGUAACUGACGCUGAGUCACGAAAGCGUGGGUAGCAAACAGGAUUAGAAACCCGAGUAGUCC
rnacentral:rRNA from 1 species